GACGGACGCUGGCGGCGUGCUUAACACAUACAAGUCGAACGAUGAACCCGGAGCUUGCUCCGGCGGAUUAGUGGCGAACGGGUGAGUAACACGUGAGUAACCUGCCCUUGACUCUGGGAUAACUGCGGGAAACUGUAGCUAAUACCGGAUACGACCCUCGGCGGCAUCGCCAGGGGGUGGAAAGAAUUUCGGUCAAGGAUGGACUCGCGGCCUAUCAGCUAGUUGGUGAGGUAACGGCUCACCAAGGCGACGACGGGUAGCCGGCCUGAGCGGGUGACCGGCCACAAUGUGACUGAGACACGGCCCAGACUCCUACGGGAGGCAGCAGUGGGGAAUAUUGCACAAUGGGCGAAAGCCUGAUGCAGCAACGCCGCGUGAGGGAUGAAGGCCUUCGGGUUGUAAACCUCUUUUAGUAGGGAAGAAGCGAAAGUGACGGUACCUACAGAAAAAGCACCGGCUAACUACGUGCCAGCCGCCGCAGUAA
rnacentral:rRNA from 1 species